GCAUAUCAAUAAGCGGAGGAAAAGAAACCAACAGGGAUUGCCCUAGUAACGGCGAGUGAAGCGGCAACAGCUCAAAUUUGAAAUCUGGCUCUUUUAGAGUCCGAGUUGUACUUUGCAGAGGGCGCUUUGGCUUUGGCAGCGGUCCAAGUUCCUUGGAACAGGACGUCACAGAGGGUGAGAAUCCCGUACGUGGUCGCUGGCUAUUGCCGUGUAAAGCCCCUUCGACGAGUCGAGUUGUUUGGGAAUGCAGCUCUAAAUGGGAGGUACAUUUCUUCUAAAGCUAAAUAUUGGCCAGAGACCGAUAGCGCACAAGUAGAGUGAUCGAAAGAUGAAAAGCACUUUGGAAAGAGAGUCAAACAGCACGUGAAAUUGUUGAAAGGGAAGCGCUUGCAGCCAGACUUGCUUGCAGUUGCUCAUCCGGGCUUUUUUGCCCGGUGCACUCUUCUGUAGGCAGGCCAGCAUCAGUUUGGGCGGUAGGAUAAAGGUCUCUGUCACGUACCUCCUUUCGGGGAGGCCUUAUAGGGGAGGCGACAUACUACCAGCCUGGACUGAGGUCCGCGCAUCUGCUAGGAUGCUGGCGUAAUGGCUGUAAGCGGCCCGUCUUGAAACACGGACCAAGGAGUCUAACAUCUAUGCGAGUGUUUGGGUGUCAAGCCCGAGCGCGUAAUGAAAGUGAACGGAGGUGGGAACCCGCAAGGGUGCACCAUCGACCGAUCCUGAUGUCUUCGGAAGGAUUUGAGUAAGAGCAUGGCUGUUGGGACCCGAAAGAUGGUGAACUAUGCUUGAAUAGGGUGAAGCCAGAGGAAACUCUGGUGGAGGCUCGCAGCGGUUCUGACGUGCAAAUCGAUCGUCAAAUUUGGGCAUAGGGGCGAAAGACUAAUCGACUAUCUAGUAGCUGGGUCUGC
rnacentral:rRNA from 1 species